CAGUACACCAGUAAUGUUUGGGUUUUUUUUGUUUUGCCACCAAACUUUACCAACUUCUAAGUCUUCCUAAAUCAUAAAAAGCUUCAACACAGUCAGACCUCGAAAGCAGAUUGACAAAGACAUACAGAGAGGAGGGGAAGUCUCUAGAGAGAGAGCGAUGAAAGAGGAGCCGCUAUGGGUACGAAGACGCGGAUGUCCUCCCGUCGGCUGAUCCGGUGUGACAACGGCGUUCGUGGUGUGCUCUGUUAACCCAAGCGACGAAUACAGAGGAUGGUGGUGAUGUUUGUAGCAAUAGACUUACAUAAAUGCCCUGCUUGCAAAUUAUUCUUCACAAAAACACAACAGUGUCUUCUUUCUCUGUCUAGGGUUAGACAACAACCACCACCAUGGAGCUGGCGGCGGCUACGAUGGUGGAUAUGGAUGAAGUGGUGGCGGUUACGGAAGUAGUGGUGGCCGAGGCGGAUCUUACGGUGGAAACUAUGGCGGAGGUGGAGGUGGAGGUGGCGGCGGCGGUGGUGGAGGAUGGUGGUGGAUACGGAUGAAGUGGUGGUGGAGGCGGAUCUUACGGCGGAAACUAUAGCGGAGGUGGAGGUGGAGGUUAUGGUGGCGGCGGAGGUGGUGGAGGAUACAGUCAGAUCGAGUAAAAGUUGGGGAAUCUCUACUGAACAUGGAACAAUGAUAUUUGAAAUCAUGGUCUUGGUCCCAAAAUACAUCUCUUCAAUGAUGGCUGAACAGUUCUCUUAUUUGUGGAAGUUAACAUGUGAGAUUUGCUUUGAAGUGUAUAUAUGUGAUAAUAUGGGUUCUGCCGCUUGCAUUCAUCCUUUUGGGUAACUUGCUGACAUGGUUCGAAUAUUUGGUGAUUACCAUCUAGCAGAAAACUAUGCACAGCUAAAAGAUCUUUCCAAAUUUGAAUACGAAGCGUCCUCAUGUCGGCUCAGUAGGAUCAAGCCAUAGCGCCAAGAAGGCGCAUGACAAGUGAAAAAUCGCCGCGAUGUAAACACAAGUUGACAUACUUUUGUACUUACCCACGAUUUAUUUUCACAUUCAUAUGCCACGUGCCCCUCAUCUUUUAGCCUCGAUAAGUAAGAGAGAGAAAGAAGAAAGAGAGAGACAAAGACUAACUUUUUUUUGAACGGCCAACAGAAUCAAUCCCGAGUACUCUCUGGGCAUCCACUGGACAAAUGGAAUACUCCGAGAGUAACUCAAGUCCACCACCAAUUCCGGGGAAAACCCGGUAACCCCACCCGCCCGUAGGCACGACAGUGAAAUUACCAGUAAAACCCGUUUGGCUCAAGGAUCCAACCCAGGUUUCCCCGUGUCUCCUAUCAAUUGCCCACCAGUGCCUCACUCUGCACCAAGUGUGUGUUGAACCUGCAUCGCUCAAGAGAAAUGCAAACUCUUCACCACUUGAUCAGAGGAGGGGCAGAGUCCGGUUAUCCCCCUCCCUUAAACCGUCAUCACGGUGGACUGAAGCCCUCAAUCUUCACUCAAGCCCUGGUAGCGUUUUAGGGUUCCGCCGAACAUAUUACGAUUUUCCGGUGGUUCAACGACUCAGCGGUGGACGCGGUGGCAGCAGCCAUUUCGGCGGUGAUCAAUUCAACGAAGGUCCUCAAGAAGAAGUUGAAGGUAUUGGUUUUUGGAUGGUUGUGAUACAAGAGAGAUGAUGGAAUAUGAACAUGCGUGUUUAUUUUCUCAAUUUCAAAAUAUACAGUCACGCUUGCUACUAUAUCGUUCCCACUGGUUCACAAUUCUCAUUUUGUCCGCCCUAGCGGCGGCGACUAGGGUUGCGCCGUGUUGGAUUUGUGCUCUUUUUGUGACAUUGCUUCUGGAACUUCAUUUGGUGAAUGAUGGAUGAUUUUCAAUAUUCCAUCUUUCACAAGUACAAUGGCCUGAUGAGAUAAAUGCUAGUGUAUGUGAUGGAAUGAUGUAUGAAGAAAUAAAAAAGGACAUGCCUGAGGAAUACGAGUCGCGAAAGAAGGAUAAAUUGAGGUAUCGGUAUCCUAGUGGAGAGUCUUAUUUGGAUGUGAAACAAAGGGUUGGAGCCCGUGAUAAUCAAGCUUGAACGGCAACGGGCUCCUGUUAUAGUAGUAUGUCACGAGAGCAUCAUAUGCAUAUUUUGCUCAUAGACCAUUGAAAGAAAUUCCGCACAUAGAGAUUCCAUUGCAUACAAUAAUAGAGAUACAAAUAGGAGCCACGUGAGUAGAAGAGAAAAGAUACAAACUCAUGGAUUGAGAUACAUUUGCGCACUAAGGCGAACUUUUUUCCAGGUAGAAAAGUGUUGCAGCUCGCCAAACUUAUUUGACCUUACAAAUGAAUUUACAUUGAUUGAUACAACUGAAGAGACAGGAAGAGACAAAUCCGUGGCAUGACCAUGAGGCAUGAAGCAUAUUUUGGGACUCAUCCAGUUAACCCAGCUUAUGUCUUUAUGUUCGCUUUUUCGUUGUUAACAAUCGUUUUUUGAGUCAUUUAUGGGUAGUUGAUACUAAUCAAGAGUUCGUUUGAUGUUUCUGAAUUGUUCCUGUAACGCAAAGAAAUUACCCAUGACGAAGUUAAAAGGUUCGUUAGAUAUCAUACUUUAUAAUGCG